rnacentral:rRNA from 1 species
GGCUCAGAUUGAACGCUGGCGGCAUGCCUUACACAUGCAAGUCGAACGGCAGCACGGGGCAACCUGGUGGCGAGUGGCGAACGGGUGAGUAAUGCAUCGGAACGUGCCAUUGAGUGGGGGAUAACGUAGCGAAAGUUGCGCUAAUACCGCAUAUUCUGUGAGCAGGAAAGCAGGGGACCGCAAGGCCUUGCGCUCUUUGAGCGGCCGAUGUCAGAUUAGCUAGUUGGUGAGGUAACGGCUUACCAAGGCGACGAUCUGUAGCGGGUCUGAGAGGAUGAUCCGCCACACUGGAACUGAGACACGGUCCAGACUCCUACGGGAGGCAGCAGUGGGGAAUUUUGGACAAUGGGCGCAAGCCUGAUCCAGCCACGCCGCGUGAGUGAAGAAGGCCUUCGGGUUGUAAAGCUCUUUCGGCCGGGAAGAAAUCGCAUGGGUUAAUACCCUGUGUGGAUGACGGUACCGGAAUAAGAAGCACCGGCUAACUACGUG